UAUCAUGAUUGUGACAGUCAAUAAUACCAUUUUAUUAUUAUGAUUGUGUGCAUAGCUUAUUUUCGCUCAAAAUAUAAAUUAGUGUUCGUAUUCGUGUCGUGCUUCCUAUUGUUACUUGUUGCUUUAUUGUAGAUAAAUCGCAAUUCAAUAAACUACGAGCGCUUUACUCCACUCUACGUAGUUCAUUGUGAAAUAAGCUAGAACGAACCAAAAAUGGAAACAGAUAAAUAUAUUACGAUUGUUCCUGUUGAGUAUCCUCGAAACAGGCAACAGUUCAUACGGCCUCCCGAUGAAUACAGUGACUUUCCUCAAAACCGGAAUUGGCCCCAUACGAGAGCAGUAAGGACCGAAUCAAGUACUAUGCGGAGGAAAGAACUGAAACGAUCAUUGGAACACAAAAGAUCCCACAAUCAUUCUCGUAAUGAUCCUAUACAAUCAUGUUCCAAGCCGAUAAUAAGUGCUCCACUAGCAUUCCAAACCGCUCCAAAACCUAUAAAGAAACCGCUCAGUGUAUAUAUUUACACAAUGGCUGAUAUAGUCUUACAUAUGGAUAUAGAAGAUGCAAACACAACUACAGUAUCAGAUCUUGUUGAUAUUAUAAUAAUGCAAAAAAAUUUGGGAUUAUCAAGAAUCGCAAAGAAUAUUUUUACAAUUUGGAUGAAAUCAAACGUUUUAGAAAUCCAGUUAAAACCACAUCACAAAUUAUUGACAGUUUUUCAAAAAUGGCCUACACUCGAAGAAAAAUACUGCACUCAAACCAAAAAAGUUAUUUUCAAAGAACCCAUUUUGAGUUUUCAAAGAAAUGUUUUUUUUCCCAGAAAAGAUGAAGAAAAAAUUAAGGACCAAAAAAUUAUUGAGCUAUUGUAUGCUGAAGCUAAAUAUAAUGUAUUACAAGGUCGGUAUCCUGUUGAAGUGAACCACUGUUUGAUGUUAGCUAGUUUGCAGUGCCGUAUAGAAUUAGGUCCAAACAAUUUACAACAGUACACCUCAAGUUUUUUUAGAGAUAACCGGGAAAGAUUUUUACCAUCCCAUCUAUACAAAAGCUGGUCAUCAUGGUUAAACCUUGAUAGAAAAAGUACACCUCAUUCUCGGCUAGCAGACCAUUUAAAACAUAUACAGAUAACUGGAUCUGAUCGUAGACUUUACCACAAAUAUUUAGAGUGCUGUUACAUGCUACCAUUUUAUGGGUGUGCUUUUUUCCAUGGUCAAAUUGAACAACCUGUUCGAGGUUUGAUGUCUUUAAUUAACCAUAAAGAUGUUCCUAUUUACAUUGCAGUCAACACCGAAGGAGUUUAUAUCUUGGACUGUGUGGAAAAUAGUUUAUUGCUGGGUCUUAAGUAUCAAGAUUUUUCAUGGGAAUUCGCUAAGCCAUCUCAAGAAGAUAAUGAUCAUUGUUUACCAUGUAUAUUUCUACAGUUUUUAGUAUUAGAAAACGGAACAAGAGUUUCAAAAAUUUUACAAGUGUUUUCUAAACAAGCUGUCAUGAUCGAUGCACUAAUUGCCUGUUUCGUUGAAGAUUUUAGACACAAAUUAGCUAUGAAUGAAUAUGACGAUGUAGAUAGAACUGGCGGCUUUGAACAUAUUUCUGUUGGCGAUGGAUCGCAAGUACCUUUGGCACAUUUGUUCCGCAGCGAACCACAAUCGCGAUUGUGUAAUAAACUAAAUAAGUUGACACUGGCUACAUUUGACGAAGAUGGUAUGUUUAUAAUAUUCAUCCAUAUUAAACGGAUCAUCUUUUUACAGCUUGUUAGCACAUAUAUUCAUCAUUUAGAAAGUUGUUUAUAAUAUAGUUAAUUUGAUCACACACCAUUAUGCAUGGUUUGUAUACUACUUUUGAAUUUAAUCUACGGCAAUGGACUAAAGUCAUUGUAUCGGACAAAUGGGAUCUUGGUCAUUCAGCUACUGAAAGUGGAUACUUAAUAUAAUAUACUUUAAUUUUUUUCUACUGAUCUCUAUACCGCUAUCCUUUUCUUUAAUUCACAUUUCUUCUACUUCUUACCAUUGAAUACUAUUGUAUCAAGAUAUAAUACAUGUGAUUACCUUCUCCUAGUCAAUUUUGCUUACUUUGUUUUAAUUUAGUUUAAAAUAAGUUUUAAAGAGUUUUUUUAUGUAGGUUUAUAUAUUUUAAUUUAGUUACCAUUAAUUUAAAUAAAUAUUUAAAGGGCAACUCAAUAAAAUACUAUUUUUCCAGGGCAUUUCCCAGUCAAAGUAUACCUUGUACUUAGUAAAUAGGGCAUUACAAUUGUUCUGAUAAUGUAAUAGUUGACUUAUGUUGCUUGUGUUUGUUUUAUAAAGUAAUAAUACAGAUUUAUACUCUAUUAUACACAAGAAAUAACUUGGGCCGACUUGUGUUCAUGUCAUUGUUCUGUAUAUCAGCUAUUGGUGGAUGAUAAAGUAAGUCAAACAGUUGUGUGCGACCUUUAAGUCAAUGACAAAACUGGUUGCCAACCUGGGCUGCUUCUAAUGUUGAAUAGAGUAUUUAAUUACUAAUAUGAAACUACUAUUUACUUGUCUGUUUGUAUUUCAAUUAUCCAAAUAAAAUUCUCAAUAUAAUUUGUACAAUCGUACAUAAUAUUAUGUGUACUAGUACUACUUGUGCAGUGCAGUCAUGUAUAAUAUUAUAAUGUUUUUUAAGAGUUUGUGUAAUUUACAAAUUAAACUAAAAUGUAAGAUAUAUUUAAAUUUAAUAGUAUAUAACUGACUAAAACUAAGUAUUAAAUAAAGCAAAAACAAUUUUAUUGAAGAUUAUUUCUUAAUGCCUUAAUUACACAUGUGUAUUAAGUUAUUAGUAUUAAAGGAGAUGUAUAAACUUUUGCUUAAAUGUUCUAAAUUCUAAGAUCUGAUAAAUAAUAGCUUAUAAACUAAUAACAUACAUUCGGAUUAUUCAAGUAGUUAUUUAAUUACAUUUUAAAUUUGUUAUUGUUUGUUAUGUGAUAUGAUGCUUCCUAAAUUUGUUAAUUUUUAAUGUAUAGUUAUUGAUCCAAAUAGUGAUAUUAUUGAUAUUAAUAUUAUUUGAUUUAUUUAUAGGUGUUAUAUAAGUUUUAACAUAUAAGUUGUAUGUUUAAAUGUAGUUUAGAUAUGAAAUUGCAGUGUUUAAUAAAUAAUAACUUCAUCAAUUAAUUUUAUAAUUGUUUUUUUUUUUUCAAUAUAGAUUUAAUUCCUCUUAUGUUUAGCGCAAACAUUAUUUAUAUUGUGUUUUAUUAAGUUAACAUUUGUAGUGAUUGCUGUGCAGGACAUUGCGAUCUAUACCACAAUGAUUAUUUAAGCCAUGUAUCAUGUUUGUUAUUGUCUUGAGACGUAUUGUUGAGAAAGAUAGGUAUUUGAAAUAAUUGAACACUUAAUUAUUAUUUAACAAUAUAACAAAACACUUUAUAACUGUACAUUAAAUAACUAGAUGCACUGUCGUAGGCUUAUUGGACCUUUAACAAGUGCUGACUUUUAAGUAAUGCUAGGCGCUCUACCUGUAUUUAUGAGGGUUCUCACAAUGACGUAUGGAAGCGUGAUAUUCAAUAUUCUAAUUUUACCUCCCAUUACUGUUAACUUGCAUUAUUAUGUGAAUAGGUAAAAACAACUUGUUGUUUUCACCUUUGAUCCAAGUUUCCUGUUAUUUAAGCUUUUGCGUACACCAUAUAUUGAAUAUUACUAUCUUCAUUAAAUCUCAUAAAU